rfam:Hepatitis C virus isolate QC105, complete genome
AUUCCGCUCGUAGGCGCCCCUGUUGGGGGCGUCGCAAGGGCUCUUGCACAUGGUGUCCGAGCUCUUGAGGACGGAAUCAAUUUUGCAACAGGGAACUUACCUGGUUGCUCUUU